UCUCCGUAGGUGAACCUGCGGAGGGAUCAUUACAGAGUUCAUGCCCUACCGGGUAGAUCUCCCACCCUAUGUUAUUAUUACUUUGUUGCUUUGGCGGGCCGUUAGGCUCCGGCCCGAUUACCGGCCCCGGCUGGUAAGCGCCCGCCAGAGGACCCAAAACCCUGAAUAUUAGUGUCGUCUGAGUACUAUAUAAUAGUUAAAACUUUCAACAACGGAUCUCUUGGUUCU
rnacentral:misc_RNA from 1 species